CCUACACUGGAACGCCCGCCGGUGGUGGAAGAUUCCUCCGUUAGCAAAUCAUUUUGAAAAGAUGUAGCCUGGUGGAUGCACGGUGCCAUGCUCUGUGGAAGAGGAAACGAUGUUUAAAAUCCGACACGCCCCCUUGUGGAGCUUACUUUAACAAUAUCAGUAGCUAACAUUUACUAAGCACUGUAUCAGGAAAUGUUCUUCUAUGUAUUUACAUAAGAGUUGAGAAGAAUUCUAUGAGCUAUGACCUCAUCUUCACAGUUGACGAAUCAAAUCGCUAAAGAUUAUAUAAUAAGCCAGAGAUACAGCUGGAAGAGGGUCAGAUCCCUUGAUGACCUGCUCCAAGGCCUGUCAUUCUACAUAGCAGGCUGAAAGCUGAAGAGGACCCCCCAGAUUGUAUAUAUUUAUAAAACUUGGAUCUGCUCACUCUCUACCUGCACACCCAUCACCAUGCCACGCCAUUCAGGAAAGCAGGAAAGCAAGUGGCACUGAUGGAUCUGAAGUAAAGUUUAUCUUCAUUCAGCACCGUGGGGAGAAAAGCUGCUUCGGCAGAGAACAACUGCACAAUUCUGCAUAAAUGCAGCACAGCCCGCACGUUACCUUGCUCAUAACUAAAAGAACUAUACCCAUUGUGAUCUGAAGAGGAGAAUAAAGUCAGAUUAAAAUGUUCUGUA